AUUGAACGCUGGCGGCAUGCUUUACACAUGCAAGUCGAACGGUAACAGGCCGCAAGGUGCUGACGAGUGGCGAACGGGUGAGUAAUGCAUCGGAACGUGCCCAGUCGUGGGGGAUAACGCAGCGAAAGCUGCGCUAAUACCGCAUACGAUCUCUGGAUGAAAGCGGGGGACCGUAAGGCCUCGCGCGAUUGGAGCGGCCGAUGUCAGAUUAGGUAGUUGGGGGGUAAAGGCUCACCAAGCCAACGAUCUGUAGCUGGUCUGAGAGGACGACCAGCCACACUGGGACUGAGACACGGCCCAGACUCCUACGGGAGGCAGCAGUGGGGAAUUUUGGACAAUGGGCGCAAGCCUGAUCCAGCAAUGCCGCGUGCAGGAAGAAGGCCUUCGGGUUGUAAACUGCUUCUGUACGGAACGAAACGGUCCUGGUUAAUACCUGGGGCUAAUGACGGUACCGUAAGAAUAAGCACCGGCUAACUACGUGCCAGCCGCCGCCGUAAUAC
rnacentral:rRNA from 1 species